GAUGAACGCUAGCGGCAGGCCUAACACAUGCAAGUCGAGGGGUAGAACACUUCGGUGUUUGAGACCGGCGCACGGGUGCGUAACGCGUAUGCAAUCUACCUUGUACAGGGGAAUAGCCCAGAGAAAUUUGGAUUAAUGCCCCAUAGUAUAUAACCUUCGCAUGUUGGUUAUAUUAAAGUUCCAACGGUACAAGAUGAGCAUGCGUCCCAUUAGUUAGUUGGUAAGGUAACGGCUUACCAAGACGAUGAUGGGUAGGGGUCCUGAGAGGGAGAUCCCCCACACUGGUACUGAGACACGGACCAGACUCCUACGGGAGGCAGCAGUGAGGAAUAUUGGUCAAUGGGCGCAAGCCUGAACCAGCCAUGCCGCGUGCAGGAAGACGGUCCUAUGGAUUGUAAACUGCUUUUAUACAGGAAGAAACAACUCUACGUGUAGAGUCUUGACGGUACUGUAGGAAUAAGGAUCGGCUAACUACGUGCCAGCCGCCGCCGUAACAC
rnacentral:rRNA from 1 species